CGACCUAUAAGGAGAGGCAAUCCCAGCGUGGAUCAGGUGAGUCACCCCAGGAGGCCGAGGAAUGGGGAGGCAAAGAAAUAAAAAAAAGCCAUCGGCGAAUUAAAUGAACGGGCAGAGCUGUGGGACAGGGAGGGGCUUCUUCCCCAGGUGGGGUGCGCAGAGAGGGUAUAAAAGUGCUCCUGUCCCGGAAAGCCUCAUUCCCUCUCAUUCCUUCCUCGUCUCUUCCCUGCACGAGCAGCUCAGGUCAGCCAGCACAGGACCAUGUGCUCCCGCCAGGAGAAGGACCAGUGCCACCGGCAGCAGCGCCAGAGCAGCGGCGGCUGUCACAGCUCCGGGGGUGGCUGUCACAGCUCCGGGGGUGGUGGCGGCUGCCACAGCUCUGGGGGUGGUGGUGGCUGUCACAGCUCUGGUGGUGGUGGCGGCUGCCACAGCUCUGGGGGUGGUGGCGGCUGUCACAGCUCCGGUGGCUCCGGCUGCCACAGCUCCGGUGGCUCCGGCUGCCACAGCUCCGGUGGCUCUGGCUGCCACGGGAAGCCGCAGGUGCAGGUGCAGCAGCAGCAGCAGCAGCAGGUGCUGCAGGUGCCCCAGCAGAAGAUGAAGUGACAGCGCUGCCCACGCGUUGUGCCAGCGCCAGCAGCCAAGGCCACGCGGGGACCGGCUCCCUCCCACCUCCCCAGAGCUUCCAAACCCUCCCCGGUGCCCUCCGGAGCCGUCAUUCCUUGGGAAGGGCCUGGCUGGUGCUUCCCUGGUGUCCCUGGCUGUGCCUUGGCCCUGUGAGGUGCUCAAUAAAGAGUUCCAUUCCCUAAAUCCCUCUUGUGUUGGUGUUUCCUUGAACUCCUCAUCUUGUUUUCCAGAGCCAGGGAGGCAGGCUGGGAAGGGGUUUUAGGGUUGAGAUGUUCUCCAGCCUCGCUCAAAUGCUGAGUGAGGGCUCCUGGGUGGCACAGCUGUCGACCCUGCUCAUCCCCAGGAAACUCUGGAAGUGGUGACUCACCCUAAAUUUUGAGGUCCCUUUCCUUUGCCUCUGAGGGUUCUGCCUGUUAAAAGUUAUUUCUUUUCCCUGCAACCACAAAAGAAAAGGACAGAGACAGGGUGGUGAGGAAGGGGAUUCUCCCCCUCUGCUCUGCUCUGGUGAGAUCUCCCCGGGAAUGCUGAGUCCAGUUCUGGUGUCCCCAAUGUUAAAGGCACGUGGAAUUGUUGGAACAAGUCCAGAGGAGGCCACGAAUUUGAUAAAGGGUCUGGAGCCCCUUCCCUGUGGAUCCAGGCUGGGAGAGCUGGGAAUGUUCAGCCUGUGGAGACCUCAGAGCCUCUCCCAGGAUCUGCAGGGGCUCCGGGGAAGCUGGAGAGGGACUUUUCCUCAGGAACUUCAGGGACAGGACACAGGGAAUGGAUUCAGACUGACAGAGGGGUAGGAAAGACACCCACAGCUGGGAACUCCUGAUGGACAGUUCAGGCACCCAAAAUUUGGGAUGUGAGGGCAUCCCGCCCUGGGGACACUGCAGCCACCGGGGGAAGUUGUUUCCAGUGUCACCACAUCCCCCUCUGCCCAAGCUGGCACUUGUUUAAGGUCGGCCUCGAUGAUCUCAGAGGUCUUUUCCAGCCUCAGUGGACAAGGCAGGACACGGCGAGCCCGGGGCCGGCUCCACACCGUCCCGAGGGGGUUUGUCCAAAGUCCCCAGCAGCUCCCAGGAAAAGCAGGAAGGAGCUGAUUCUCGGAGCUGAAAUCCUUGAUGUGACUUGGAAACGAUGCUGGGUUUCAGCUCAGACAGUCCAAGCCCUGCUCCUGUCCCCUCCUCCCUCCAGAAUCUCCCCGGGCAUUUCCCUCUAGCAACACUUCCUUCUCCAGAGGAAUCCCUGGAGGAUUUUGCCCUCAUCCCCU
rnacentral:lncRNA from 13 species